GAAAUGCGAUACGUAGUGUGAAUUGCAGAAUUCAGUGAAUCAUCGAAUCUUUGAACGCACAUUGCGCCCUUUGGUAUUCCAAAGGGCAUGCCUGUUCGAGCGUCAUUUGUACCCUCAAGCUUUGCUUGGUGUUGGGCGUCUUGUCUCCAGUUCGCUGGAGACUCGCCUUAGAGUCAUUGGCAGCCGGCCUACUGGUUUCGGAGCGCAGCACAAGUCGCGCUCUCUUCCGGCGACGGUCAGCGGCCACUAAGCCUUGUUUUUCAACUUUUGACCGCGGAUCAGGUAGGGAUACCCGCUGAACUUAA
rnacentral:misc_RNA from 1 species